CCUACGGGUGGCAGCAGUAGGGAAUAUUGCUCAAUGGGGGAAACCCUGAAGCAGCAACGCCGCGUGGAGGAUGAAGGUUCUCGGAUUUUUAACUCGUUUUUUUAGAGAAGAUAAUGACGGUAUCUAUCGAAUAAGCACCGGCUAACUCCGUUCCAGCAGCCGCGGUAAUACGGAGGGUGCAAGCGUUACUCGGAAUCACCGGGCGUAAAGAGGGCGUAGGCGGGAUAGCAAGUCAGAUGUGAAAUCCUAUGGCUUAACCAUAGAACUGCAUUUGAAACUGUUAUUCUAGAGUGUGGGAGUGGUAGGUGGAAUGCGUGGUGUAGGGGUGAAAUCCGUAGAGAUCA
rnacentral:rRNA from 1 species